UGGGGAAUUGUUCACAAUGGGCGCAAGCCUGAUGACGCAACGCCGCGUGGGGGAUGAAGAUCUUCGGAUCGUAAAACUCUGUUAUUAGGGAAGAACAAACGUGUAAGUAACUGUGCACGUCUUGACGGUACCUAAUCAGAAAGCCACGGCUAACUACGUGCCAGCAGCCGCGGUAAUACGUAGGUGGCAAGCGUUAUCCGGAAUUAUUGGGCGUAAAGCGCGCGUAGGCGGUUUUUUAAGUCUGAUGUGAAAGCCCACGGCUCAACCGUGGAGGGUCAUUGGAAACUGGAAAACUUGAGUGCAGAAGAGGAAAGUGGGAUUCCAUGUGUAGCGGUGAAAUGCGCAGAGAUAUGGAGGAACACCAGUGGCGAAGGCGACUUUCUGGUCUGUAACUGACGCUGAUGUGCGAAAGCGUGGGGAGCAAACAGGAUUAGAUACCCGUGUAGUCCCUGAGCGGGCUGGCAAGGCGCAU
rnacentral:rRNA from 1 species